rnacentral:lncRNA from 1 species
GAUAUAAGAUACAAUUUGCUAAAUGCAUGAAACUCAAGAAGAGCGAAGACCAAAGUGUGGACACUUUGCCCCUUAGAAUUGGGAACAAAACACCCAUGGAAGGAGUUACAGAGACAGAAUUUAGAGCUGUGACAAAAGGAUGGACCAUCUAGUGAUUGCCAUAUCCAGGGAUCCAUUCCAUAAUCAGCUUCCAAACGCUGACACCAUUGCAUACACUAGCAAGAUUUUGCUGAAAGGACUCAGAUAUAGCCUUCUCUUGUGAGACUAUGCCGGGGCCUAGCAAACACAGAAGUGGAUGCUCACAGUCAGCUAUUGAAUGGAUCACAGGGCCCCCAAUGGAGGAGCUAGAGAAAGCACCCAAGGAACUAAAGGGAACUGCAAUCCUAUAGGUGGAACAACAAUAUGAACUAAGCAGUACCCCGGAGCUCUUGUCUCUAGCUGCAUAUGUAUCAAAAGAUGGCCUAGUCAGCCAUCACUGGAAAGAGAGGCCCAGUGGACUUGCAAACUUUAUAUGCCCCUGUACAGGGGAACAACAGGGCCAAAAAGUGGGAGUGGGUGGUUAGAGGAGUGGGGGGCAGGGUAUGGAGGACUUUUGGGAUAGCAUUGGAAAUGUAAAUGAGGAAAAUACCUAAUUAAAAAAAAGAAAAAUAUUCUUUUAUAUUGCAUAAUAUUAAGUAGUUGGGUUUUUGAGCCAGAGUCCUAUAUUCUGUUCAGGUACAUGCUAUUUGCUUACUUAUUAUAUAGCUAAAUGUCAGCUGCAAAUAUUCUUCUUGAUACCUUUUAAUUUGGACAAACAUUAGUACCACUCAUAUUAGUUCAUACUGUCUAAGAGUGAGAAAACAAGGCAAGAUCAGACUUAAAAAAUGUGUAUUGGGAAAAAAAUUCCAUGACAAAGAUAGAAAGAUAGAAACAGACAGGAGACAUAGGAGAACCCUAUAGGAUUAAAAAAAAAAGCAGGGGGGGUUGGUAUGGACAGUGUAGAAAUAUGUGAUUCAGGCCAAAUUGGUCUGGUAAGUUUUCUUCAGUAUCUAAUGUGAACUCUUCGAGUGACAGUUGCCUGCUAUGUCUUACUGUGAGUGUCUAGUCAUUUGCUGAAAACAGCUUGUGAGAAGGACGGCCUCAGCAUGGACUGGGCACCGGAUUCUGCUCAUAGCCUCCAGAACUGUCAAUCUUUCUUAGUCCCUGAAGAAGGAUAUCUGAUAGCUACUGUGGUAAUAUUUUUCUGUUUGUAAUGCUUGUAUAACAAUUGUUUGAUAUUUUAUUAUAAAUUUUAUUAUUCUUCAUGACUUUGAAUAUAUAUACCAUGUCAUAAUUUUGACAAGUAAACAUGACAGUGGAAAU